GCCUGGGUGGCUUAGUCGGUUAAGCAUCUGACUUCAGCUCAGGUCAUGAUCUCACGGUUUGUGAGUUCAAGCCCCACGUGAGGCU
rnacentral:tRNA from 1 species